rnacentral:misc_RNA from 1 species
UUUUUUGAAAGGGUGCUUUUAUGAGAUAGAGAUUUUUUAGAUAAUGCUUUUUUAGAUAAUGCUGGGGAAGGUUUUCCGGUUUAUCUCGGAGGGCUUGUAGCUCAGUUGGUUAGAGCGCGCGCUUGAUAAGCGUGAGGUCGGAGGUUCAAGUCCUCCCAGGCCCACCAAUUUACCUAUCCAUUUGCUUUUAUCUGUUUAUUUGCCGAUUUAUCGGUCCAUUGAAUUUAAGUGUUGGUAGCAGUUUUAUAAUGAUGAGAAAUCAUGCUUAUAAAAGAACUCCUUAUAAAAGGCUUGUUUUUAAAAUGUGACGCUUAUCCAUUUCGCUUAGGCAAGAGAAACUUCAAGCGGUUCAAAUACAAAAGGCUUUAAGUUUUGCAAAACACUUUGAAUUUUGCAAAACACUUUGAAUUUUGCAAAACACUUUGAAUUUUAAAGUGAUCCAAGUUCGUGAUCUCGAAUUUAAAAGUUUCGAAUGCUUUAUCCUUUUUUGGGGGCCGUAGCUCAGCUGGGAGAGCACCUGCUUUGCAAGCAGGGGG